ACCUCUGAGGCCGUUUAGGUAGCUCGCGGAACUCCUGCGGUCGAUGCGAGGCCCCGGCUUUGGAGCUGGGGACGCGAAAAUGAGUGUUAGUCGUGGCUGCUGGCUUCGAGGAACCCCCGUCCUAGCCGA